UCUCCGCUUGCGCGGGCAGUCUUUUUAGAGUCCCCACCUUGACGUGCUGGCAACUAAAAAUAAGGGUUGCGCUCGUUGCGGGACUUAACCCAACACCUCACGGCACGAGCUGACGACAGCCAUGCACCACCUGUACACCGGCCACAAGGGGGCCAAUAUCUCGACUGGUUUCCAGUGCAUGUCAAGCCCAGGUAAGGUUCUUCGCGUUGCAUCGAAUUAAGCCACAUGCUCCGCCGCUUGUGCGGGUCCCCGUCAAUUCCUUUGAGUUUUAGCCUUGCGGCCGUACUCCCCAGGCGGGGCACUUAAUGCGUUAGCUGCGGCACGGAUCCCGUUGGUUGAGACCCACACCUAGUGCCCAACGUUUACGGCGUGGACUAC
rnacentral:misc_RNA from 1 species